AACGAACGCUGGCGGCAUGCCUAACACAUGCAAGUCGAACGAGACCUUCGGGUAUAGUGGCGCACGGGUGCGUAACGCGUGGGAACCUGCCCUUAGGUUCGGAAUAACUCCCCGAAAGGGGUGCUAAUACCGGAUAAUGUCUUCGGACCAAAGAUUUAUCGCCUUGGGAUGGGCCCGCGUUGGAUUAGCUAGUUGGUAGGGUAAAAGCCUACCAAGGCGACGUUCCAUAGCUGGUCUGAGAGGAUGAUCAGCCACACUGGGACUGAGACACGGCCCAGACUCCUACGGAAAGCAGCAGUGGGGAAUAUUGGACGAUGGGCGAAAGCCUGAUCCAGCAAUGCCGCGUGAGUGAUGAAGGCCUUAGGAUUGUAAAGCUCUUUUACCCGGGAUGAUAAUGACAGUACCGGGAGAAUAAGCUCCGGCUAACUCCGUG
rnacentral:rRNA from 1 species